GAUAGUGAACCAGUACCGUGAGGGAAAGGUGAAAAGAACCCCGACGAGGGGAGUGAAACAGUACCUGAAACCGAACGCCUACAAUCAGUUGGAGGCCCCUUGAGGGCUGACAGCGUACCUUUUGUAUAAUGGGUCAUCGACUUGGUCUCACGAGCAAGCUUAAGCCGCUAGGCGGAGGCGCAGCGAAAGCGAGUCUUAAUAGGGCGCAUGAGUUCGUGGGAUCAGACCCGAAACCGAGUGAUCUAGGCAUGGCCAGGCUGAAGAUGCGGUAACACGCAUUGGAGGGCCGAACCCACAUCCGUUGAAAAGGAUCGGGAUGAGCUGUGCCUAGGGGUGAAAGGCCAAUCAAACUCGGAGAUAGCUGGUUCUCUGCGAAAUCUAUUUAGGUAGAGCGUCAUCCGAAUACCCCGGGGGGUAGAGCACUGGAUGGGUAAUGGGGCCCCACAGGCUUACUGAUCCUAACCAAACUCCGAAUACCCGGGAGUACUAGAUGGCAGACACACUGCGGAUGCUAACGUCCGUAGUGAAGAGGGAAACAACCCUGACCUCCAGCUAAGGCCCCCAAUUCAUGGCUAAGUGGGAAAGCAGGUGGGACGACCAAAACAACCAGGAGGUUGGCUUAGAAGCAGCC
rnacentral:rRNA from 14 species